GAUUAUGGUUCUUCUGAAGGAUGGAUUGGUGCAAAUGUCAAUCCCAAGUUACCUCCUGAGCUAGUUACUUAUGCAGUGCUUCCUAAUAUCGGUUAUUUCGAAUUCAUUCCUCUCAGGGUAAACUUAGAUGGCCUUGAGCCUACACCAGUGGGUCUUGCUGAAGUUAAACUAGGUGAAGAGUAUGAAAUUGUUGUCACCAACUUUGCAGGGUUGUAUCGUUACAGGCUCGGUGAUGUCGUGAAAAUAAAAGGAUUCCACAAUGCCACACCAGAACUCCAGUUUAUUUGUCGUAGCAAUCUUAUACUAAGCAUAAACAUUGACAAGAGCACUGAGAAAGACUUACAGCUAGCUGUAGAAGCAGCAGCCAGGCUCUUAGUAGACGAAAAACUAGAGGUAGUUGAUUUCACUAGCCACGCGAAUGUUGCAACUGAUCCAGGACACUACGUGGUUUUCUGGGAACUCAGUGGUGAAGCAAGUGAUGAAACAUUGCAAGAAUGCUGCAAUUGUUUGGACAAAUCGUUUGUAGAUGCAGGGUACGUGGGGUCUCGGAAGGUCAAUGUAAUUGGAGCACUUGAGCUUAGAGUUGUGAAGAAGGGGACAUUUCAUAAGAUAUUAGAUCAUUUUGUAGGCUUAGGAGGUGCUGUUAGCCAGUUCAAGACUCCAAGAUGUGUUGGUCAAAACAACAGCAGACUGCUACAGAUACUAUGUUAUGAUGUUGUCAAGAGCUAUUUUAGUACUGCCUACUAAUGAUGUUGAACUUGGAUGUAUCAUUAAUAAUUGUACAAAAUUGAAAAGUUGUAUGAAGAAGUGGAUGCAU
rnacentral:misc_RNA from 1 species